rnacentral:lncRNA from 1 species
CCCAGUUCGGUAACACCAUUAUUUCAAAAUUCUAUUUUUCAUACUCAUUUUCAAUCACACAUUCUCAUAAUAAAAUAUUUUUCAUGUAAACCUUAAACUUUUUUCUACUUUUAACCACACAUUGAUAAAAAAGUUGCUAUUCAAAAAUUCUUUCUUUUUAAAAAAAUUAUGUNUAACAAGGGCUAAAACUACUCAAACCAAUUAUUACAUGAAUUAAACCAAAAAUAGCAGCAUCGCUAUUCAUAGCAGUAAGCAACUUGCGAUUAUGUAAACAAUAAUAAAGAUUUCAAUAAAUCAUUGCUCGAUCGAGUAUUAUUGUCAUUUGAGAGAGUUAGAUAAGACUAAGUAUUUCUAAAUACAAACACCUCUCAUGUUUUACUGCCUUAAUCUUGAAUUGUCUUAUCCAAUCUAACAUACCAAAUAUGACACAGAGUAUUUACAUUUACAAGUAUACCAACAAUUGGCUUCUCAGAAUCAAGAGGAAGAGAACGAACAUAAGAACGUGUCUUUGCUAACAAUGCUUAAGAUUUAUAGCUUUUUGUGGGCAAGAAGCUAUAAGCCUGCAAUCAUUUUAGACUCAUCUCUGCACCAAGUAGUUUUUCAAGUAAAACCCUCUUAACUUGCAUCCAUAAUUCAAUAAAUUUGAAUUUGAUUUUCGUUUAGAAAAAAAAGAGAGAAAUCAGAGAACUAACAACUUUGGCUAGCAUGUCACGUAAUGAAUCUUGAGAGUACUAUUUCUGCAUCUCUUUGACCAAAUUCGUCCACAUUAGGAUUAUUCAUUAAUAGUUGAUCAAAUUAGAUGGAUUCACCCUCUGAACCAAGAAAUUCUAGUUCUAGAAGUAUAAUGCCCUUGUUUGAGCCCCAUUUUGAGGGGAAAAAUGAAUUUUUAAAUAGUGUAUUGAUGGAAAAUGCGUGGUCAAAAAAUAAGGAAAAGUUUUGGAUUUACGUGUAAUAUUAUUUUAUUGAAGAAUGUGUGAUUGAAAUAAUACCAAAAUGCUGUAGAAGAAUUUAUUUUUUCUAAAGAAUGGGGAUCAAAUAAGGGCAUUAAUAUAAACAAAUUGAUGUCCAUUCGAAGGAAUUUUUUAUGAUUGUAUCGUAGCCCCUAUUUCAUUAGGAGAAAAAUCUAAGGGUGGCAAACAUGCAAAGAGGUUGCAGGCUCGGCUCAAUUUAUGAGCUGCUCAAGCUUAUUUUGAGAUGAUAUAUGAGCCAGUCUAGCUCACAUUUUUUUUUUCAUGAGCCAGCCGGCUUAUUUUUUAUUCCUCAUUUUCGGCUUACUUUAUUAAUAUAUUGAAAAAGUUGCUCAUUUAGUUAAUUUAAUUUUUUUCAAAACGAG